rnacentral:rRNA from 1 species
UGGGGAAUUUUGGACAAUGGGGGAAACCCUGAUCCAGCCAUCCCGCGUGUGCGAUGAAGGCCUUCGGGUUGUAAAGCACUUUUGGCAGGAAAGAAACGUCAUGGGUUAAUACCCCGUGAAACUGACGGUACCUGCAGAAUAAGCACCGGCUAACUACGUGCCAGCAGCCGCGGUAAUACGUAGGGUGCAAGCGUUAAUCGGAAUUACUGGGCGUAAAGCGUGCGCAGGCGGUUCGGAAAGAAAGAUGUGAAAUCUCAGAGCUCAACUUUGGAACUGCAUUUUUAACUACCGGGCUAGAGUGUGUCAGAGGGAGGUGGAAUUCCGCGUGUAGCAGUGAAAUGCGUAGAUAUGCGGAGGAACACCGAUGGCGAAGGCAGCCUCCUGGGAUAACACUGACGCUCAUGCACGAAGGCGUGGGGAGCAAACAGG